UACAGAGGGGGCAAGCGUUGUUCGGAAUUACUGGGCGUAAAGGGCGCGUAGGCGGCCUGCUAAGUCGAACGUGAAAUCCCCGAGCUCAACUCGGGAACUGCGUCCGAUACUGACAGGCUUGAAUCCGGGAGAGGGAUGCGGAAUUCCAGGUGUAGCGGUGAAAUGCGUAGAUAUCUGGAGGAACACCGGUGGCGAAGGCGGCUUUCUGGGCCUUACCUGACGCUGAGGAGCGAAAGCUGGGGGAGCAAACAGG
rnacentral:rRNA from 1 species